rnacentral:rRNA from 1 species
UACGGAGGGUGCAAGCGUUAAUCGGAAUUACUGGGCGUAAAGGGUGCGUAGGUGGUUGUAUAAGUUAACUGUGAAAUCCCCGGGCUCAACCUGGGCAGGUCAGUUAAGACUGUAUGACUCGAGUAUGGGAGAGGGUAGUGGAAUUUCCGGUGUAGCGGUGAAAUGCGUAGAGAUCGGAAGGAACACCAGUGGCGAAGGCGGCUACCUGGCCCAAUACUGACACUGAGGCACGAAAGCGUGGGGAGCAAACAGGAUUAGAUACCCCCGUAGUCC